GGCACCCGGGUGGAGGGAGGCCUCCACCUUCAUCAGCCCCGAGGUGGCGACUUCGUGGCUCUAAAGCGUCAUUUAAGGUAGUAUCGUUGUGUUCUAGUAUAUUGAAAGUGUGAGAAGUACAAAUCAAGCACAGACUGACACAUUAAGAUACUAUUGUUCUCCAGACCAUCCUGGUCAAAUUAUAAUACAGGUAAAUAUAGUUGUUCUUAGCCACCCAGUUCCUGAUUAUUUGAGCUGAAAAAUUAUUCUAAACUUUCAGUCUAAAUAUAUAAUGUGAUCAUACAGACUAAAUAAAGGAUAAACUCUCAAGGGAGAUACAACUCAUGAGCUGUCAAUACCAUAUAAAAUAGAAGGUGAAAUAUUUCAGACAAGAUAUUUUAUUACACACUACAUAAGAUGGUCUGGCACCACAAAUGUAGACAUGGCAUAAACACAGAAAUAUGAUAAGUCAAGAGGGAGUUAUAGAGAGAAGUGUGGUCUGGUGGUGAACUUCCAGGAAAUGCAAGUACGUAUAUUGUCUUUUUUGACCAUUCCCACAGUUAAAUUGUUAAAUGCAAAACAUACCACUCUUUCUAGAACUGUUCAUUAGAAAGCAGUACUGCCAUGUUCACGUAUUUUAUUAAGUAAAUGUUUGUUCCUGUUCUUCAUGAAAGUACAAAUUAGUAAAAAUGGGUGCACGUUUGAAUGUACAUUUUACCUCUAAUGUUGUAAGGGAAAAAUGUUGCCUGUGUAAACCCACAUCUUUGCAUACAAAUUGUGUAAUUCUGCUUAUGGGCUUAUUUAUGAGCAUGUUUGUACAUAAAAUAAAUGCUCAUGUAGAUUUUGUGGAUGCAGUGCUGGUGUUGAUGAAAAGUUGGUCCAGCUAUGUCAGUUACAGGAUGAAUUACUGGCAGCUAUUCAGCAUUGUGAGAAAGAAAAAAGUAAAAAUUAUCACAGUUUUUACAAGAACAGUAAUCACUGACAAAAAAAUCCAACCAAUUUUUAUGAUAAAGCAAUAUACAAAACUGGAGUUCUGCAUUAGAAUUGCUUCUGUUGCAGGCACAGCUCUCCUUAAGAGAUUUCUUUUGCAGAGAACUUCCUUAGUCCUUUGAAACUAUGUUCUCUGCUUGGCUUGUUAGAGCACAUGCAGAUCUGGAAUGGAACAGAAGAUUGUUGAACCUUUCCUGCUCUCAAGAAAUAUCCAUAAAAUGUACUGGCAACAAAUUUUUGUUCCUAAACAUCCCAAGAUAAAAUGAAGGAACUGCAAAUGCCACAACACAUGCAAGGACCCCCACAGGGUACAUGGGUUUGCUGCCAUGUGCAUUUUACCGAGAACUCUACUGAGAGAACAAAAACUCCUGCAAAGAUCUAAGCAGGUGCUUCAUUUUAGAUACUGAAAGUGAUUCUUCAGACUUUUUUUUUUGUCCAAAUAAAGACCAAGGGAGUGCAAUAUUUUGUUUAUAAAUAUGUACCGUUAGUUUCCUGUAAGACAUGAACACCUGUGUAUGGCCUCAGCUUAUUGAGUUGUGUUAAAGCAUUACUCAUUGGAAGACCAUUCCAGCAUCGCGAUUAAAGUUCAUGAUCUGCAGGUUAGACUGCUGUAAUUUGAUCUGAGUUUUCCUUUAAAAUGGUGUGGAAGCCAUAGCUUCCACAUGCAAAUGACAUCUGUUGAGUUGAGGGACAGUAAUGCAACUGAAGGCACUCAUCUUCAUCCAGUGCUAUUGUCUAGCAACCCAAUAACUACAGACAGGUAAAAAUUCUUAUUCCUGUGUUUAUGUGUUAGGACUCUCCUUGCUGAACAGUCUUUGCUUACUGGCUGUGGCUAAUUAUUACUUGUCCUAGAUCCAGAGGCUGCAUUGAAUGAGGACUUGAAAAGAGUCAACAUAGUUCAGAAAUCCUAUUUACGUAAUGCUUUCCAAACCCUUUUGUUACUAUAUUCAGAACAGAAAUAACAUUUAUUUAGAUACUAUGACUUGUAUCUUUUAUCAUACUAUUUUGGAUUAUUUUUUAUUGUUUUGCAGGAUGCUUUGCUUUGUUGUGAGAAUAGCUGAUUUCUUGGCUAAAUGUAGUUUUAAUUUUUAUGUAGCUAACUUAAUAGCCAUGGUUUCCACAAUCUGUAUUUUGAUAGCACUAUGACAGUGCAGGUUAUAUCUAUGGCAGUUAACAAAUCCUAUAGUGUUCUGUGACUGAAAACAGCCUGAGACAUGUCCAACCUGUUGAACUGCAUUCAUUCAGGUGACCUGCCCCAAAAGUUAUUUGACACAUCAGUAAAGAAUAAAUACUGAAAGCAACUGCAUCCAGUUUUUGUGAUGUCUCUGCCUGCCCAGCCCUCUGAACAAAAUAUUUUUCUACAAAAAAGAAUUAUCAGGUAGGGUAAGAAUUGUAUGGUAUGAAUGCAUGAGUCACACUUUUUAAGAGGAGAAAGCAGUUAAUGCCUCCCAGUAGACAGUACAGAGAGACAUCAUGGAUGAGAUAAGGUUUCUGUUCUGUAUGAAAUUGUUAGGGAGAGCUCAGCCAUCAACACAAGAAAAAGGAUCUGUAUGACAAAGAAGGUAAGGUGACUGUACCGAGUUGAAAUAAUAACAAAUUUAAGAGUGUUAUGAAAUAUGAGAUAACAGUGGGGUGGGGUUGGGCAUU